rnacentral:tRNA from 1 species
UGGUUAGAGCAGUGGAAUCAUAAUCCAUGUGUCCGGGGUUCGAGUCCCUGAUCCGCCACCA